rnacentral:rRNA from 1 species
CCUACGGGAGGCAGCAGUGGGGAAUUUUGGACAAUGGGCGAAAGCCUGAUCCAGCAAUGCCGCGUGCAGGAAGAAGGCCUUCGGGUUGUAAACUGCUUUUGUACGGAGCGAAAAGGCCCUUUUUAAUACAGAGGGUUCAUGACGGUACCGUAAGAAUAAGCACCGGCUAACUACGUGCCAGCAGCCGCGGUAAUACGUAGGGUGCGAGCGUUAAUCGGAAUUACUGGGCGUAAAGCGUGCGCAGGCGGUUUUGUAAGACAGGCGUGAAAUCCCCGGGCUCAACCUGGGAAUGGCGCUUGUGACUGCAAAGCUGGAGUGCGGCAGAGGGGGAUGGGAAUUCCGCGUGUAGCAGUGAAAUGCGUAGAUAUGCGGAGGAACACCGAUGGCGAAGGCAAUCCCCUGGGCCUGCACUGACGCCCAUGCACGAAAGCGUGGGGAGCAAACAGGAUUAGAUACCCUGGUAGUCCACGCCCUAAACGAUGUCACUGGUUGUUGGUUAUUUACUUACUCAGUAACGAGCUAACGCGUGAAGUUGACCGCCGUCGGAGGUACGGCCGCGAGGUUAGUAACGUUAAAGUAAGUUAGUACGCGUGAGACGUCGCCGACGGACGACGACGAGGGAGAGG